rnacentral:rRNA from 1 species
GGUGCAAGCGUUAUCCGGAUUCACUGGGUUCAAAGGGUGUGUAGGCGGGGAGUUAAGUCAGUGGUGAAAUCUCCAGGCUCAACCUGGAAACUGCCAUUGAUACUAUCUAUCUUGAAUAUUGUUGAGGUAGGCGGAAUAAGUCAUGUAGCGGUGAAAUGCAUAGAUAUCGUCCAGAACACCGAUAGCGAAGGCAGCUAACUAAGGAGUAACUGACGCUGAGGCACGAAAGUGUGGGGAUCAAACAGG